rfam:Schistosoma haematobium scaffold252_4, whole genome shotgun sequence.
AUCUAACUGACGAGUCUCAAAUAGGACGAAAUGUGAGUCUUGGAU